AAGAUAGUUGGGUUUGUAUAUUUGGUAAUCUAAAGUAAUAAACUGCAGUACGCGCGAUUUCGUACAUUUUGAUAAUUUGGGCUUAAUGGGCCAAAGAUCGGGUUCAUGGGCCAACGGGCCCAAUUCAGAAAUCCCCAACCAUAGUGGGCUUGGAGCUGUGAGGGAAUUCGGAGUGGUCACCCAUUCUGAAAGUUUGAUUUUCUUCUGGUGAACUGAACAUCCUUUUAUUUACGUUUGAAGUUUUGGGUUUUUAAAUGUAAUAAGGCCGCUUAAUUAUUUUUGAUGGUUUUAAUAUGUAUUAUUAAGAUAGGUAAUACUUA